rnacentral:lncRNA from 1 species
UAAGGGUGGCUCUUUACAUACGAGUGGAGCUCAGAGUCACUGGUUGGUUCAUGGAAGGACUGGAAUAUCACCUAUAUUAUGAAAUAGAUACAAAAAAAGUAAUUAAUAUACUUGCUUCCGAGGGAUUCCCUCUCAUCCUGGUGAUGCAGUUCGCACUCCUCGACCGCCCAAGUCUCUACCUAUUUACAUGGAGUAUAUGGUCAAUACUGAGAUGUUCCCGAGGAGCCCAACAAUGUUAAAGAUGAUGAGGAUUAUUA